CAGUUCGGAUCGGAGUCUGCAACCCGACUCCGUGAAGCUGGAUUCGCUAGUAAUCGCGCAUCAGCCAUGGCGCGGUGAAUACGUUCCCGGGUCUUGUACACACCGCCCGUCACACCGUGGGAGUCGGAAAUGCCCGAAGUCUGUGACCCAACCAUUAAGGAGGGAGCAGCCGAAGGCAGGUCGGAUGACUGGGGUGAAGUCGUAACAAGGUAUC
rnacentral:rRNA from 1 species